UAUACGGCGUUAAUAUAUGACCCGAUUAGCAGCUUCCGGGAAACCAAAGUUUUUCGUUUCCGGGGGAAGUAUGGUUGCAAAGCUGAAACUUAAAGGAAUUGACGGAAGGGCACCACCAGGAGUGGAGCCUGCGGCUUAAUUUGACUCAACACGGGAAAACUCACCCGGCCCGGACACCGUAAGGAUUGACAGACUGAGAGCUCUUUCUUAAUUCGGUGGGUGGUGGUGCAUGGCCGUUCUUAGUUGGUGGAGCGAUUUGUCUGGUUAAUUCCGAUAACGAACGAGACUCUGGCCUAUUAAAUAGACGAUAUAUUUAAAAGUAUAUCGCGCUUCUUAGAGGGACAAGCGGCGUCUAGCCGCAUGAAAUAGAGCAAUAACAGGUCUGUGAUGCCCUUAGAUGUCCGGGGCUGCACGCGCGCUACACUGAAAGAAUCAGUGUGCGUUACGCCUAGUUCGGAAGAACCGGGUAACCCAAGUAAAUUCUUUCGUGCUUGGGAUAGGGAAUUGCAAUUAUUUCCCUUAAACGAGGAAUUCCCAGUAAAUGCGGGUCAUAAGCUCGCGUUGAUUACGUCC
rnacentral:rRNA from 1 species